CCUACGGGUGGCAGCAGUGAGGAAUAUUGGUCAAUGGACGGAAGUCUGAACCAGCCAUGCCGCGUGCAGUAAGACGGCUCUAUGAGUUGUAAACUGCUUUUGUACAAGGGUAAACCUGAAUACGUGUAUUCAGCUGAAAGUACUGUACGAAUACGGAUCGGCUAACUUCGUGCCAGCAGCCGCGGUAAUACGGAGGAUCCAAGCGUUAUCCGGAUUUAUUGGGUUUAAAGGGUGCGUAGGCGGCUUGAUAAGUUAGAGGGGAAAUGUCCUGGCCUAACUCGGGAACUGCCUUUAAUACUGUUGGGCUAGAGAGUAGGUGAGGUAGGCGGAAUGUAUGGUGUAGCGGUGAAAUGCGUAGAGAUCAUACAGAACACCGAUGGCGAAGGCAGCUUACCAAUCUAUAUCUGACGUUGAGGCACGAAAGCGUGGGGAGCAAACAGGAUUAGAUACCCGAGUAGUC
rnacentral:rRNA from 1 species